rnacentral:rRNA from 1 species
GCUGUGGAUAGGGGUGAAAGGCUAAACAAAUCCGGAAAUAGCUGGUUCUCCCCGAAAACUAUUUAGGUAGCGCCUCAAGUAUUACCGUCGGGGGUAGAGCACUGUUAUGGCUAGGGGGUCAUGGCGACUUACCAAACCAUUGCAAACUCCGAAUACCGAUGAGUACAGCUUGGGAGACAGUGCACCGGGUGCUAACGUCCGGACACAAGAGGGAAACAACCCAGACCGCCAGCUAAGGUCCCCAAAAUUGGCUAAGUGGGAAACGAAGUGGGAAGGCUAAAACAGUCAGGAUGUUGGCUUAGAAGCAGCCAUCAUUUAAAGAAAGCGUAAUAGCUCACUGAUCGAGUCGUCCUGCGCGGAAGAUGUAACGGGGCUAAGCCAGUUACCGAAGCUGCGGAUUUGCACGCAAGUGCAAGUGGUAGGAGAGCGUUCUGUAAGCCUGUGAAGGUGGCUUGUGAAGGCUGCUGGAGGUAUCAGAAGUGCGAAUGCUGACAUGAGUAGCGUUAAAGGGGUGAAAAGCCCCUCGCCGAAAGCGACG